UUUCAGAUACCCUUGUAAUCUAUUGCGAGCUAUCCCGAACAGCUCGCAAUAGAAUAUAAGGGUGUCUGAAAU